rnacentral:rRNA from 1 species
UUAAGCAUAUCAAUAAGCGGAGGAAAAGAAACUAACAAGGAUUCCCCUAGUAACUGCGAGUGAAGCGGGAAAAGCUCAAAUUUGAAAUCUGGCGGUUCUUGACUGUCCGAGUUGUAAUCUAGAGAAGUGUUACCUGUGCUGGACCGUGUACAAGUCUUCUGGAAUGGAGCAUCAUAGAGGGUGAGAAUCCCGUCUUUGACACGGACUACCUGUACAUUAUGGUAUGCUCUCAAAGAGUCGAGUUGUUUGGGAAUGCAGCUCAAAAUGGGUGGUAAAUGCCAUCUAAAGCUAAAUAUUGGCGAGAGACCGAUAGCGAACAAGUACCGUGAGGGAAAGAUGAAAAGAACUUUGGAAAGAGAGUUAAACAGUACGUGAAAUUGCUGAAAGGGAAACGCUUGAAGUCAGUCUCGUUAGCUUGAAAUCAGCCUAGCUUUCGCUGAGUGUACUUUCUUGUUGACGGGUCAGCAUCAAUUUUGACCACUGGAUAAAGUCUUUGGGAAUGUGGCAUCUUCGGAUGUGUUAUAGCCCAUUGUCGCAUACAGUGGUUGGGAUUGAGGAACUCAGCACGGCCACAAGGCUUCGGGUUUCGACCACGUUCGUGCUUAGGAUGCUGGCAUAAUGGCUUUAAUCGACCCGUCUUGAAACACGGACCAAGGAGUCUAACAUGCCUGCGAGUGUUUGGGUGGAAAACCCAUGCGCGCAAUGAAAGUGAAAGUUGAGAUCCCUUUUCAAAGGGGGAGCAUUGACGCCCGGACCAGACCUUCUGUGACGGAUCCGCGGUAGAGCAUGUAUGUUGGGACCCGAAAGAUGGUGAACUAUGCCUGAAUAGGGUGAAGCCAGAGGAAACUCUGGUGGAGGCUCGUAGCGAUUCUGACGUGCAAAUCGAUCGUCAAAUUUGGGUAUAGGGGCGAAAGACUAAUCGAACCAUCUAGUAGCUG